GGGGGGGCGUGCACGGAGCAUGCGCAGAGCAGGGGUUGCGUGCAAAGCGUGCACCGGGGGCGUGCACCGAGCAAGGUUUGCAAGCACAGUGUGCACCAGGAGUGUGCAUGGAGCAAGGUUUGCAUGCACAAUGUGCACUGGGAGCAUGCACCAAGCAAGGUUUGCACGCAAAUUGUGCACCAGGGGCAUGCACUGAGCAGGGUUUGCAUGCAGAACAUGCACCAGGAGCGGGCCCAGAUCGCAGUUUGCAAGCACAGUGUGCACUGUGAGGGUGCACGGAGCAGGGUCUGUGGGCACAGUGCACCCUGUGAGCACGCAUGGAGCAUGUUUGUGUGCAAAUUGUGCACCGGGAGCGUGCACGGAGCAAGUUUUGCGCCCAGCACAUGCACCAAGAGCAUGCACAGAGCAAGGUCUGCACACAGAACGUGCACCAGGAGCAUGCACCGAGCACAGUUUCCAAGCACAGUGUGCACCGGGAGCGUGCACGGAGCAAGGUUUGCAAGCACAGUGCGCACUGAGCGUGCACGGGGCACCUUUGCUUGCAAAUCGUGCACCAAGGGCAUGCACAGAGCACAGUUUGCAACUUUGCACGCACCACGCGUGCCAUGAGCGUGCACGGAGCGCGCUUGCACGCGCCGCACACACGCACGUGGCACUUUUGCACGCACGAGGAGCUUUGCACGUCCCCGUGCACGCGGCACCCGAGGGC
rnacentral:lncRNA from 1 species